rnacentral:lncRNA from 1 species
UCAACCCCUUCUUGGUACAAUAUGUUUAACUUGCAGCUGAGGAUUAUUCUGUCGAGUUCUUUUUUGCCUAUUGUAUAGCUACUUCUCUUAGGAACCUAGUCAACUCUUAUUGUUCAUUUUGUCAGCGUUCUCAUUCUAUAGCAAGGCACUGUAGCGUUUAAUUGUUAGUCCCUUUGCCUUUCCAAUAACAUAGCAUGCACAUUCUCUAUAUUCUUCAGCUAAACAGUUAUUUCAUAACUAAAACAAGGAAAGUAUCGUUCUCAACGAGGACUAUGGUCAAGUACCAAUAUCUUCAAAAUGACUUAUUUGAAUUUUAAUAUGAAAUAAUGAACCUAGUCAACUCUUAUUGUUCAUUUUGUCAGCGUUCUCAUUCUAUAGCAAGGCACUGUAGCGUUUAAUUGUUAGUCCCUUUGCCUUUCCAAUAACAUAGCAUGCACAUUCUCUAUAUUCUUCAGCUAAACAGUUAUUUCAUAACUAAAACAAGGAAAGUAUCGUUCUCAACGAGGACUAUGGUCAAGUACCAAUAUCUUCAAAAUGACUUAUUUGAAUUUUAAAAUGAAAUAAUAAGUAACCAACAUAAACCCUCUUUCACAGGUCGCGUUUAGACCCCUGUAUUUUUUUGGUCAACGACCUCUGUAAGACCUUUUACCUAGCUUAUACCUUCAUUCGAAUUUUCGAAUACUGUGAUUACUUUAUGCCUGUGUUAAAAGAAGAUAGCAAAG